GAGACACACCUAUGGAGCAGGAUUUGCUUCAGUGGAGCUUUGGUGUUCACUGAGUCUUCCCCUUGAGAGUAUCACU
rnacentral:pre_miRNA from 1 species